GUGAGGAAUUUUCCGCAAUGGGCGAAAGCCUGACGGAGCAAUGCCGCGUGAAGGAUGAAGGCCUAUGGGUUGUAAACUUCUUUUCUUAGAGAAGAAUAUUGACGGUAUCUGAGGAAUAAGCAUCGGCAAACUCUGUGCCAGCAGCCGCGGUAAUACAGAGGUCUCAAGCGUUGUUCGGAAUUAUUGGGCGUAAAGGGCGCGUAGGCGGGAAGGUGUGUCGACCUGUAAAUCUAUCGUUUCAAGCGGUAGGCUUGGGUUGAAACUGCCUUUCUAGAGGAUUUCAGGGGAGUUUGGAAUUUACGGUGUAGCAGUGAAAUGCGUGGAUAUCGUAAGGAAGGCUUGUGGCGAAGGCGAAACUCUGGGGAAUACCUGACGCUGAGGCGCGAAGGCUAGGUUAGCAAACGGGAUUAGAUACCCGUGUAGUCC
rnacentral:rRNA from 1 species